CGUGGAUUAGGCAUGCAAGUCGAACGGGAUCCGGGAGGUAGCAAUACUUCCUGGUGAGAGUGGCGGAUUGGGGAGGAACACGUGAGCAACCUGCCUUGGAGUCGGGGAAAACCGUUGGAAACGACGGCUAAUACCGGAUGUGGCGCCCGGUGACAUCGCCGGAGCGCUAAAGGGGGCCGCAAGGCUCUCGCUCCUAGAGGGGCUCGCGCACCAUCAGCUUGUUGGCGGGGUAACGGCCCACCAAGGCCUACGGUUAGCUGGUCUGAGAGGAUGACCAGCCCCACUGGGACUGAGAUACUGCCCAGACUCCUACGGGAGGCUGCAGUCGAGGAUCAUUUGCAAUGGGCGAAAGCCUGACAAUGCGACGCUGCGUGGAGGAUGAAGGCCUUCGGGUUGUAAACUCCUGUCAUGGGGGAACAGGCGAGGGGAGUUAAUACCUCCCUUAGUUGAGUGUACCCCAAGAGGAAUUGGCGGCUAACUCUGUGCCAGCAGCCGCGGUAAUACAGAGGCCAAGAGCGUUGUUCGGAUUUACUGGGCGUAAAGGGCGCGUAGGCGGCUUGCUAAGUCGGAUGUGAAAUCUCCGGGCUCAACCCGGAAAGUGCGUCCGAAACUGGCAGGCUGGAGUCCGGGAGGGGGAAUCGGAAUAUAGGGUGUAGCGGUGAAAUGCGUUGAUAUCCUAUAGAACACCGGAGGCGAAGGCGGGAUUCCUUGAACGGUACUGACGCUGAGGCGCGAAAGUCGGGGGAGCAAACAGGAUUAGAUACCCCUGGUAGUCCCGACCCUAAACGGUGCACGCUAGGGGUGGGCCCAUUUCAC
rnacentral:rRNA from 1 species